UACCGCGAAACUGCGAAUGGCUCAUUAAAUCAGUUAUCGUUUAUUUGAUAGUACCUUACUACAUGGAUAACCGUGGUAAUUCUAGAGCUAAUACAUGCUAAAAAUCCCGACUUCGGAAGGGAUGUAUUUAUUAGAUUAAAAACCAAUGCCCUUCGGGGCUCUCUGGUGAUUCAUAAUAACUUCUCGAAUCGCACGGCCUUGCGCCGGCGAUGGUUCAUUCAAAUUUCUGCCCUAUCAACUUUCGACGGCUGGGUCUUGGCCAGCCGUGGUGACAACGGGUAACGGAGGGUUAGGGCUCGACCCCGGAGAAGGAGCCUGAGAAACGGCUACUACAUCCAAGGAAGGCAGCAGGCGCGCAAAUUACCCAAUCCCGACACGGGGAGGUAGUGACAAUAAAUACUGAUACAGGGCUCUUUCGGGUCUUGUAAUUGGAAUGAGUACAAUUUAAAUCCCUUAACGAGGAACAAUUGGAGGGCAAGUCUGGUGCCAGCAGCCGCGGUAAUUCCAGCUCCAAUAGCGUAUAUUAAAGUUGUUGAGGUUAAAAAGCUCGUAGUUGAACCUUGGGCCUAGCCGGCCGGUCCGCCUCACCGCGUGCACUGGCUCGGCUGGGUCUUUCCUUCUGGAGAACCGCAUGCCCUUCACUGGGUGUGCUGGGGAACCACGACUUUUACUCUGAAUAAAUUAGAUCGCUUAAAGAACGCCUAUGCUCGAAUACAUUAGCAUGGAAUAAUAGAAUAUGACGUGUGGUUCUAUUUUGUUGGUUUCU
rnacentral:rRNA from 1 species